rnacentral:rRNA from 1 species
CCUACGGGAGGCAGCAGUGAGGAAUAUUGGUCAAUGGACGAGAGUCUGAACCAGCCAAGUAGCGUGAAGGAUGACUGCCCUAUGGGUUGUAAACUUCUUUUAUAUGGGAAUAAAAUGUUCCACGUGUGGGAUUUUGUAUGUACCAUAUGAAUAAGGAUCGGCUAACUCCGUGCCAGCAGCCGCGGUAAUACGGAGGAUCCGAGCGUUAUCCGGAUUUAUUGGGUUUAAAGGGAGCGUAGGUGGAUUGUUAAGUCAGUUGUGAAAGUGUGCGGCUCAACCGUAAAAUUGCAGUUGAAACUGGCAGUCUUGAGUACAGUAGAGGUGGGCGGAAUUCGUGGUGUAGCGGUGAAAUGCUUAGAUAUCACGAAGAACGCCGAUUGCGAAGGCAGUUCACUGGACUGCAACUGACACUGAGGCUCGAAAGUGUGGGUAUCAAACAGGAUUAGAUACCCGGGUAGUC